rnacentral:lncRNA from 1 species
UAUAAAUAAGAUAAAUAUAGACAUAAAGCAAAUUAAUAGACUUGAGGUAAAUUCUAGAUGGAGGUGUAAUUUAGCGAAAGAAGCUAUAGUCUUUGUAAGUGUUGAGGGAGCUGUUUGUCGUGAAUACUGUCCUAGGUCAUUGGAUGGCCUACCAAGUGUUAUCAUCUCCUUGCUCCUUAAUUUAUAAAGGUGUCGUAAUAAGCCUUCUCAAGGCGCCAGACCGGUGGUCCAAGGAGACUAGGCAUGGCUUAAGUGCAACCUAUUGGGUCAGGUUCACUCUAACUAAGCCCUGGCUGUGGUCAUUCCUAACAGAUUUUUCAUUAGUUUGUAUAACAAAAUUUAAUCUAUAAUUAUGUCAUAUAGGUUAACGAUUAUCAACUUGUAGUUAUAAAUCUAUUGUAAUCUCAUAAAGAAAGAAAAAUAAAAAACAAAAAGUAAGCAAAAUAUCAUCUCAUAAUUGAUGUUGAAAUUUUGUUGGAUUUUAGAU